UGGGCUUGGGAAUGGGUUGAACCAAUUAGGUCUAGAGAUUAAACUACAAUAGGAUCCAUGAUUAGUCAGGUUAAAACUCUUUUCGAUUUUGAGCAGUUGAUCAGACCUAAUCAAAAGUUGAUUAGGAUUAGAUCGAAAGGGCUCAAAAUUGAGUUUAAUUAUAGUUGAUCAAAUUGAUUCACAUGUGAUGUGAAUUAAUUAAAUCAAGAUCGAAUUUGACUCAGUG
rnacentral:lncRNA from 1 species